GAUGAAGAACGUAGUGAAAUGCGAUACGUAAUGUGAAUUGCAAAUUCAGUGAAUCAUCGAGUCUUUGAACGCACAUUGCGCCCCCUGGUAUUCCGGGGGGCAUGCCUGUCCGAGCGUCAUUGCUGCCCUCAAGCACGGCUUGUGUGUUGGGCCCCGUCCUCCGAUCCCGGGGGACGGGCCCGAAAGGCAGCGGCGGCACCGCGUCCGGUCCUCGAGCGUAUGGGGCUUUGUCACCCGCUCUGUAGGCCCGGCCGGCGCUUGCCGAUCAACCCAAAUUUUUAUCCAGGUUGACCUCGGAUCAGGUAGGGAUACCCGCUGAACUUAAGCAUAUCAAUAAGCGGAGGA
rnacentral:misc_RNA from 1 species